GGGCCUCUAGCUCAAUGAUAGAGCAUUUGACUGCAGAUUAAGAGGUCACCAAUUCAAACUCAGUUGGGCUCU
rnacentral:tRNA from 1 species